rnacentral:rRNA from 1 species
GACAGAGGGGGCAAGCGUUAAUCGGAGUUACUGGGCGUAAAGGGCGCGUAGGCGGUUAUGUAAGUGAGAUGUGAAAUCCCUGGGCUUAACCUAGGAACUGCAUCUCAUACUGUGUAACUAGAGUAUUGUAGAGGGUAGUGGAAUUUCCGGUGUAGCGGUGAAAUGCGUAGAGAUCGGAAGGAACACCAGUGGCGAAGGCGGCUACCUGGACAAAUACUGACGCUGAGGCGCGAGAGCGUGGGGAGCAAACAGG